UCGUCCUACGGGGGGCAGCAGUGGGGAAUAUUGGGCAAUGGGCGCAAGCCUGACCCAGCAACGCCGCGUGAAGGAAGAAGGCUUUCGGGUUGUAAACUUCUUUUCUCAGGGACGAAGAAAGUGACGGUACCUGAGGAAUAAGCCACGGCUAACUACGUGCCAGCAGCCGCGGUAAUACGUAGGUGGCAAGCGUUAUCCGGAUUUACUGGGUGUAAAGGGCGUGUAGGCGGGAAAGCAAGUCAGAUGUGAAAUCCCGCGGCUCAACCGCGGAACUGCAUUUGAAACUGUCAGUCUUGAGUACCGGG
rnacentral:rRNA from 1 species